rnacentral:sRNA from 1 species
CCCCCUCGCCACCCCACCGGUGAGGCAACUUGGGCGGCGCCCUAUCGGGGGAGGGCCGCCCGUCCUUGC